UUCCCAAAUCCUGCAGAUGAAAACGCAAAAGUUUUUACAUUCGCGGAUGCUCCACACUUAUUAAAGCUAAUACGCAACCAAUUGUUAGACUCGGGCUUGAUUUGGAAAGGUUAAGUUCUAACGACGAAAACAAUUUACGAAAUGCUGCAACACACAAAUAAAUCGGAUGUAUCCAUAACAUUCAAGCUCACUGAUGAGCACAUUUCAGUAAAAGGAAUAGGUAUAUAAAUAUAAACAAACCCACCAACUUAUAAAACCAAACCGAAAUUUCAGGCAGGCAAAAGGUCAAACUAGCAACGCAGAUAUUUUCAAACACCACCGCUAACGCAAUCAGGCGUUGUUACUUGCUUGGGCUUGACCUGCACAUACGGAGACAGCUGAUUUUAUCCAGCUUUAUUUUAUCCAGCGUGUAAACGAUUGGUUUGAUGUGCUCAAUUUCAGUAUGGAUACAUUUGAUUAUCCUGAAAAAUAGGGUUUUUGUAGUUAUACAUUUUUUUUUUAUUAUUUAAUUACUAAAGGAACCUUUCGGAACUGCCCUUUCCAACCAAAAAGAAGUGUUGGCACAAAUGAACGAAUUCAUGUCGUCGCCAGUUGUUCCAUAUAAAAACGGGUUAGAAUAUUUUCAGAAGGGUAUACUGAUGACAAAAAGAGCGCUUGUAUUGCUGUUUGAAUAUCUUAAAAGCAACUCAAAUGUUGAAUAUAUUCUAAUCCAUCGGCUAGAUCAAGAUGUACUCGAUCAUUUGUUUGGAGCCAUCUGUAGCAAAGGAGGCCUCAACGAUCACCCAACCCCUCAGGUGUUCAAAUACAGACUGCGAAAAUACAUCUUAGCACGCAAUCCUGAGCUUUUGCAAAGCACGGCGAACGUUGCGCCCGAUAGAACUAAGUGGCUGAUUCACACGAAAACGCCACAGCUGUCAGCAUCAGAAGACGUUCUCACCACCCUAGUAAAUUACUCCCAGGAACUUGCUACAGAUGAGGACCUGAUGAAAUGGAGCCGGUAAUUGAAGCACUUGCCACAUCACUUGCAGAUGAGGAUCCUGAUGUAGAAAUGGAGCCGGUAAUUGAAGCGCUUGACACAUCACUUACGGAUGAAGAUCCUGAUGUAGAAAUGGAGUUAUUGGAGCCCUUGCCACAUCACAUAAGGACGACUGUGGAAUUCUUCAGGAGGAUGCUCUCAAAUAUAUUUCAGGAACCAUCAUCAAGAAGCUGCAUCUUGAAGAACACGAAAGUACUGAGAAGUGGGUGGAUCAGGUUUCGAAAGGCUUUUUAAAGAAACCGCCACUACAUUUCUUAAACUGCAUAAAAGCUCUGGAGUCGGUAUUUCAUAACAUCAAUAAGCUAGAAAUAUCGCAUUGUAAAAAACUUAAGCAGCGCUUGAUUGAAGAAGUGACGAAGUAGAGCUACCUGAUCACGUCAAACGAUCUUUCUUUAAAUGCACAAUCCAUUUUAGAGUGAAAAGUUUGAAUAAGCGACUUAAAAUUAAAAAAGCAAAAAAGAGGAUAAUGGGUUAUAAAACAUUCAUUUAAUCAAUUAAUUUAGCUAACAUUUUGACUUGCUCUUAUCUUUACAUCUAUUUACUUUGCACAAAUACAGAUCAAGAAGUAACAAAAAACAAUGUGGAUAGAUGUCGAUUUGCGCCUUCCCAUUAAGGUGAAAUUGAAGCACUCCAAUUGAUAUUCCUUCUGAUAUUUUAAAUUUCCAACGCUUAAUAUUUUUCAACAAUAUUUUCGCUAUAUAUUUUUUCCCAUACCGACCAGUGAUGCAUCCACAGUAUUAGCACUACUUUAAUUUUAAGUCCCAUACUAAACGGUUUUUGGAUGCUCUAUCGUAGACCGCAAAUGGACGUGGAUCAGUACGGGUUAAAAUAAGGAAAUUGUAGUUUUAACGUGUUUUUAAAAUGCUAAACGCAUUAAUUGAACUCAUCCUAAACAUGUUGCAAGUGGAAAAUGGUCUCGCGUUUUUUCGAAUGCUGUCCUGUUCCAUUGCUGCAAAUUGCGUUCGUUACACAGAUCUUUAAAUGUUUACUGCUUCACUUCUAGCUCGCAUGCUCCGAUGGUGAAGGAAACACUCAUUAUCAAUGGAAUAUGUAAUGUCUCAAUCUUUUGUCUGCACUCUUACAUGCUGUCUGAUAUGGCGGACGUAAUUGGUUGUCUUUGCCCUACCAAAGCCAAAUAGUGGUGGUUAUGUGACGAAUUCGCAAGAACUGUUGUCGGAUUUAGUACCGCUUUGUUUAUUUAUUUGCAGAACUUCACACGCUUGUACCGAUAAUUUAGCAGCAUACAAUUACAACUAUGCACAUAUAUCUUUUGCAUAUUUAAUGAACUUAACGAAAUUAGCAAAAUGUGUUAAACCCCUAACAAACGAUCAUGUCAACGGAUUCCAGCAUGAAUUUUUAUCAACUCAGCUUUAAGCGACUGACCAUAAUAAUUAGUUUAUUUUAGUAACAAUGGGUUUUGCAAUGUAAAUAUCACGUAUUAGUUCCAUUAAAUUAAUUUAAAAUUUAAACAUAAAAAUACACAUAUUGGAAUCUCUAAUUUUAAAUAAACGAUACCGAAAGAGAAGGUUAUUGUUCUGGUAAUCUUUUCCUAGAAAUUUAGUUGUAUACUUUGAAGCGAAAUAGUCUCACAGUGCCGACAUUGCAUGGUCGCUAAAACCAAUAAAUUUGAUGUAUCUCCCUAUUCAAUAUGCUAGGAUAAACUCGCAUCCAAAGCCAGAAGUAAAAUGGAAUGUAAAACUCACAAAUAAGUUUUACAAAUAUGAAAAAGUGUAACUCAGCUGCACGUCACGUGAAAUCAUAAGCCAUCGAAUCCACUUUUUUAAACGCAUAAUCUGUGUGAGGCAAACGCUUCUUCAGCAAGCUUUCCAGCUUGCGUAUGCGCCCAAGAUCGUCAUCAUCUUCAAUUUCAUUUGAGCCACCGGUAAGGCAGUCAACACUAAAAAUAAAUGCAAGUUUUGGCGUAGAUGUGGCAGCAGCUGUAGGCAGCAUUCUGAUCUUCAUUUCAAACCAAGUCCCCUUGCAUCGCUGCAACACAACUUCCCACAGCUAGUACAUGAGUAUACAAAUAAGUCCGCUGACCCGCUGACUUGAAAAGAAAUCUGAAGGUAUUUAUAGCAAAAAACAAACCAUCGGCAAUUCCUUUAUCACUCACCUUGGAUGUAAAAUGGUUUUUUAAUAGGACACUUUCAAUAGCUCCCUAUCAUUAACUUUGGCAUGUACUACAGUAUAUUUUGCUUAGCUGCACAUCCUUCUUUGCACGAAAAACUUGUGCACUUAACCGAAAA